GCUUUUGUGGUUCAGUGGUAGAAUUCUUGCCUUCCAUGUAGGAGACCUGGGUUCGAUUCUUGGCUCAUGCA
rnacentral:tRNA from 1 species